rnacentral:misc_RNA from 1 species
CAAAAUUGGUAUCUUACCAAAACACCGUGUGCACCAUAACUGUUCUUGGUAGCGUAUUGGAUGGGUCACGUACCCCACAUCCGCAGUGCACGUGAGGACUUCGGUCUUUGACUGUGCGAGUCAGCUGUGGGACCUACUGGCCUUUCUCGAUCGCUGCCGCAUGUCCAAACAUUGUAUUACAAAAUUUUAGUCUGAAUCAGUUCACCACAAAGUGAAAUGAAAAA